CCAGCCGAAAGCCGCACCACGUGUUGCCCAUUCCAAGAAAAAUAAACUAAAUUAGCACGAUGGCUAAUAGAAAACGCAACAAAAUUUUGCUUAAUACAAUAGAGAAAGAUAUGUCAAAUAGCUGAAAGUUAUAUGGUAACUAAAAGAUGUGCGGAUCACGAGAAACGAGCAAUUCACUUUGACAGCCUGGCAGCUGUGACCCAAAGAGUCUCACUUUGAGACUUCUUGGGACCAACCAGCAUGGGAAGUUUACGCGAAAACUGAUGUUUCUGACUGAAAACCGACGAAAGAAUGGUUUCCACACUUAUAAUGCAGAAAAACUGAUGUUUCUGACUGAAAACCGACGAAAGAAUGAUUUCCACACUUAUAAUGCUGAAACCCGAAUUUCUCUGACAGAAACCCUACGUAAGAAGGAUUUCCACACUUGGCUCCCUUGCAUGAUGCCAGAAAAGUGGACGUAAAAAAUCUAAUAAAAUUAUAUUUAUAGAAA
rnacentral:lncRNA from 1 species